UCUCUUUCUUCAGAUGAUGAUCCCAAGCCUUCAGGCGUUCUGUUUAUCAAAUUUCAAAAGCGUUUAAGAGACAAAUAAAGCAGGUGUUUAAGAAACACUUGAGUGCGUUUAAGAUACAGAUAAAGAAGGUGUUAAGAAACAGGUAAAAAGGUGUUUAAGAAACAUUCAAGUGCGUUUAAGAAACAUAUCUGUUUCUUAAACAUAUCUUUUGUUUUCUUUCUUUUCCCGAAGAAGGUUUUUACCGAUUCACUCCUGAGGGCUUGUAGCUCAGUUGGUUA
rnacentral:misc_RNA from 1 species